rnacentral:lncRNA from 1 species
GAAGACGAUGUUGAUAUAGUGGAAGUGUCUUUUAUUAAUUUGGUUAAUAGAAGAUUGGUACAUAACCUAGUGCUAAAACUAUGCAUUUUUUAUCCUAUGUUGUAGAUCAUAUAUGCUAGUAACAAUUCUAUUUUCAAUUUGCGAUCUGUGCUUGACAAGGAAAAGCUCAAUGGAGCUAAAUUUAUUGAUUGGUACCGCAACCUGUGAAUUGUUCUCACGCAAGAGAAAACUGAGUAUGUUCUUGAGCAACCACACCCAGAUGAUCC